rnacentral:tRNA from 1 species
ACCUAGCUGGCUCAGUCAGUAGAGCAUGUGACUCUUAAUCUCAGGGUCAUGAGUUCAAGCCCCACACUGGGCA